UAGCGAUGAUGAAAAUAGCGUUGACUGUGAAGACUUGGGUCUCUCACAACCGUCUGAUCUACGGACGAAUAUCACCAACGCCACGGAGCUC
rfam:Cucumis melo, WGS project CAJI01000000 data, contig: 22155